GGUUGCGCGGUAAGGACCUGAUUCUGCUGAAGUUUUCGCACCGUCCGUCGCGGGUUCGAAUCCCGCCCUGG
rnacentral:tRNA from 1 species